AUUGUUUUGGUACCCCAUAGUGGCCGCUGUGACGUCACGUGAAAACGCUCUAUUACGAUAAAGUAUUUUUUAAAUUUCCUUAUUAUAUUUCCAAAAAAAAUUUGCUUUAUUAUUUUAGUUCUGUUUUCUUAACCAUUUCGCUCUGUAUUUGUCAUUAUUUACUUCUUUGUAACCAAUUUAUCCUAAUCGACUUCCCAUGUGGCUAACGCUAUUCUCAAAUAACAGUAAUAAAUAAUCAGUAAUUAAUGUUUAAGGCGGUAGUUUCGAAAAGUAAUUGAAUCCUUCAAUGCUACUUGCACCGGGCGUGGUUACAAUGCACCAGGCGCGGUUACCACGCACCAGGUGUGGUUACAAGGCAUCAGGCGCGGUUACCACGCACCAGGUGUGGUUACAAGGCACCAGGCGCGGUUACCACGCACCAGGUGUGGUUACAAGGCACCAGGCGCGGUUACCACGCACCAGGUGUGGUUACAAGGCACCAGGUGUGGUUCCAAGCCACCAGGCGCGGUUAUCAUGAACCAGGAGCGGUAACCGUACAUCAAGUAUUAUAGCAUUAGAGCAGGCUCGGUUACUUUUCAAAAUGGCCGUCUUUUCCCAUGUUUCCAUUUUAUUAACUUGUUAGUAACAAUCUUUUCUCUUUGUAAUAAAAGAUCACAUUUUAUUAAACUUAAUCUUCUCGUAA